rnacentral:rRNA from 1 species
GACGAACGCUGGCGGCGUGCUUAACACAUGCAAGUCGAACGGUGAAAGCGGAGCUUGCUCCGCUGGAUCAGUGGCGAACGGGUGAGUAACACGUGGGCAACCGGCCCCUCACUUCGGGAUAACUCCGGGAAACCAGGGCUAAUACCGGCUAUGCCCUCCUUGGGCAUCCUUGGAGGUGGAAAGUUUUUCGGUGAGGGAUGGGCCCGCGGCCUAUAAGCUUGUGGGUGAGGGAGUGGCGAACCAAGGCGUCGAAGGGUAGCUGGCGGGAGAGGGGGACGGGCCACGCUGGGACUGAGACACGGCCAGGACUCCUACGGGAGGCAGCAGUGGGGAAUAUUGCGCAAUGGGCGAAAGCGUGAGGCAGCAACGCCGCGGGCGGGAUGACGGCCUUCGGGUUGUAAACCGCUUUCAGCAGGGAAGGAGCCGCAAGGUGACGGUACCUGCAGAAGAAGCACCGGCUAACUACGUGCCAGCAGCCGCCGUAAAAC